UAAGGGCCCGGGGGAAGGCCAAUUUUUUUUUUUUUUAAAAGAAAACCUUUUGUUUGAUAAAAAAGAGCAAGCAAAGUAAAAACAGAAGCGGAAACAGCACAAGAGAACGGCUAAAUAUAAACCAAAAAUCAACCCAGUUUUCUAUCCAAAACGGAUAUCUGCGUUAAUUCUGGAGCUAAUACGUGCACCAACGUGCUGCUAGCAAUAGUGGCACGCACUUAUUAAAUCAAGGCCGAUUGGGGCAACCCUUUUGGUGACUCUGAAUAAUUUUGCGGAUCGUAUGGUCUUGUACCGACAACGUACUGGUCGAGUGGGUGCCCUAUCAACUAUUGAUGGAAGUCUAUGUGUCUUCCAUGGUUGUAACGGGUAACGGAGAAUAAGGGUUCGACUCCGGAGAGCUAGCCUUAGAAACGGCUAUCACAUCCAAGGAAGGCAGCAGGCGCGUAAAUUACCCACUCUCAAUUCGAGGAGGUAGUGACUAUCAAUAACGAGACAGAUCUCUUUGAGGUCUGUCAUUGCAAUGAGCACAACUUAAAGACUUUAACGAAGUCUAUGGGAGGGCAAGUCUGGUGCCAGCAGCCGCGGUAAUUCCAGCUCCCAACGUGUAUAUCGUCAUUGCUGCGGGUAAAAAGCUCGUAGUUGGAUCUUAGCUCAUGUCGGUAGUUCUCCAUGUGAGAUACUGCUCAGCUGAGCUGUUUCGCCGGUUUUCCGUACUUUCGGCUGCGGUGACUGGUGUUGUAACUUUGAUUAAAUCAAUGUGAUUAAACAGGCGUUUGCUUGAAUGCUUUAUCAUGGAAUAAUAGAAUAUGACUUCGGUCCAUUCUGUUGGUCUAGGGAUCGAAGCAAUGACAAAAGGAACAACUCCGGGGCAUCCGUAACCCGAAAGCAGACCAAAAAACGAGCACCCAGCCAGACGACUAGCCCCAAGCAAGCCCACAAAAGGGGAGGAAAGGUU
rnacentral:rRNA from 1 species